GGGGCUGACCCAGCUUCGACAAGAGGAAUUUAACAGGAUAUUUGGCAAGUCGUUUCACACCCGUAAGGUGUUUACAUAAUUGCAGAAAAACUUGCAAACGUGAAAGCUAUGGUUGCUCAGGUGUUCGCACCGAAGCAAGCUGCUUUCGCACUAGCUGCUUAAUUACUAGCAGCCAUCGCUCUUCCCGAUGAAAUGUAGGGCAGACGGUGUUAUAUUCACAUUUCUUACUCUUUGACGGGGCAGCUGCCGUCACAGGGGACACUUUUCAGCGAAACCGCUCAGACUAUGGUUGUCUUUUGUUUAGGUCUGAUAGGUUUUAAAGUCAUUCGCAAAAGAAUAAGCUUGUAGAGGAAUAUCAGGUUACCUUUUGGACCCGGGGGCAGUACCCGGCAGCUCCACCA
rnacentral:tmRNA from 1 species